AUGGACUGUGCAAAUUAUAAACCUAAUGAUCGUGUAUACAGGGUGGAUAUAUGCAGUUUUUGUAACGUCAUUCCUUUAAAAACAUCUGUGUUUUCAAUUACUUCAAAGAACAGACCUACUCUGACGUCUUUUUUAGAUUUAUAUAUGUACAUCGGUGCUGUGAAACACAUUAAUUCACUGCAAAAACAAUGUUCUUCCGCAACAUCAAUGCAGUUUUAUUUAUGUAGGGUCUGUUUUGGGUUUUGUUUCUUGUUCAGUGUUUUCAUGUCUUUUUAUUUUUUUAGUUUGUUUCAUGCUUUUAGUGUCAUGCUUCCCUUGCACUCUUGUCCAUGCUAUUGAUUCCUCUUGUUCAUUGUGUCAUGUUCUGAUUGGUUGUCUUAGUCAUGUGUUUUGUUCCCCAUUGGUUUGUUCUUGUCAUGUGACCUGUAUUGUUAUAAGUAGUCAUGUUUUUGCCAUUGUGCCUUGUUGUGUAUUUAAUGUAUGUACCUGCUGUUGGGGAGUCUAGUCUGUUUUAGUCAAGUCUGUUCAUACCUCGUCAAGUCUGUGUUUAUGUUUGGAUUUUGGAUUGCACCUUGUAAAUAAACUGCACUUGGGUUCAUCUACGCUCUCCUUCAGUGGACUCAUUACAAUUAACUGCUAGAGGGCCAAAGGCCUACCUUUAACUUUGUCUGGACAUAAAGAUAAAAAUGCAGAUUCAUGUCAGCAGGCAACAUGAAUCACAAACAAUGAAAAAUUGACAACAAAAAUAAAAAUUAGCAAGUCAUGGCUUGUUGUGCCAUUUUUAUUUGUAACUCUUACACAUUUAACGAUUCAAAAUCUGUACUGGUCAAUCUCAGGUAGCUUUAUUCAAAUAUUUUUUUUUUUUUUUUUUUUACAUUUAAUUGGGAGAUGGAUGCAUUUUUCUCAGUCCUGUUACCAAAACUCUUAUGUUAAAAAUGUUAACUAUUUCCUUGGUUUCCCCCUCAAGCAGGUGUUUAUAUUAAAGAAUUUGUUGGUUUCAUGGUUAUAAAAAAAUAGAUUUAAUAACAGGAAUGAAUCUGAGGAACCGGAAUUUGUGUCCAUAUAUGUGUAUGGUUUUAUUACAAUUGUGAGGAGUUAAUGUCCUCACUGAUAUCCUGAAGAGUGUUGAACAUCGACUAGUUAGCUGGACCUCACUGGUAAAAAAGGCCAGGAUUAUUACUCUGAUACUUAGGAUUAUGUUAAGGGGUAGAGGAUGGGUUAUGAGAUAAUAUUUAAACAACACAAAAUAAAUAAAACAUAAUAAUAAUAAUAGUAAUGAGAAAAUAUCAUUAACCUGAUUAAAAAAAAAACUAAAAAAUAGAAGUCUAAGAGAUGUUCUCACUAAUAUAGUGAAAUACACGCGUGCUGGUGAAUUUUAAGUGUUUUGCUCAGGUCACACUCAAACACCAUUAUGGUCUAAUGCAUAAUUGCAUUUAUUGCAAGUACAUUUUCU
ensembl:lncRNA